UCCGAGGCUGCAGAAGCGUUGAACGCGAAGCGCCUCGAGACCCACGCAGGAUUCCGGUUUUCCCCGGACGUUACGCUCAGCUCAACCGACCUCCUCCGCUUCCACGCGGGACGCGAACGCUUCGCGUUUUCAGAUCAAGUCGGAAAGUGCAGCCACCCGAGCUACGCCGCCGGCCCCAGACCCAGGUUGGGAGGGACCCCCGCGGCGGCGGCCGGGUCGGGCGAGGCUCCCGGCACGCGGAGGCCCUGCUGCGCCAACGCGCGCCCGGGGAGGCGCAGGGACGGCGGGGCGGUUGGGCGCGGACGCCACGUUGACCCCUCCACCCCCAGCGCCUCCUCCUCGCAGUCCCCGGGACGCAGGGCACCAGGGCGGCGACGAAAAGGCCCCGCAGCAGCGACUCCACUUCUCCCUCCGGGAAAUCCUUGUAAAGAGCACGCAAGACAUCUUGAUGACGCAAAGCCUGAGUGGUAGCAUGAGUCAUGGGGGGCGAGAGGUGGAGGCAAAGAGGAGAAUUUAAGCAAAGUGCAUGAGCCACCACGCCCGGAUGGAGGGCUGUCCUCAUUUUCAGAGCAUUGGUUUGCCUGCCAUGCUCUGGAGAGAACAAAGCAAGGGGGCUGGAGCAAGGAAAUCAGUAAGAAGAAUCUGGAAUGAAUAGCCUGAGGUGCAGAAAGGCGACCCAGGAUGUUGGAUUGCACUAUGAUCACAAAUGAUUGUUUAAAGGAGAAAACAAAAAGAAAAUCUGGAAAAUCUGGAACAAAGUAGAAAAAAUAAUGCAGGCAUCCUUGCCAAUGCCGUCACAGACAGUGCUGGCCCCACAGAGAGAAUGCAGCUACCCAAGAGAACACAGAUAGAGGUGCUCAAGUUAGACAAAGCUGCAUCAUCACUCAGUCCUUUGUAUCAGCAACUAAAGCAAUCAUCCAGAAAUUUGCAAAGCAAAUUGGAGAGAAGCCAAGACUUCGAUAGAAAUCCACUGAUGGGGAUUUCCUCCAUAAAGACUUUUUCUUCAGAAGGUGCAUAAACUGCAGCACAGACCUGUGUGUGAUGAGCAUUAACAGCCCUGAAAUAAAGUGUGCGACCUCACAGGCACUCUGAACACUGUGGACCACCCAGGAGGAGGAGUCCGGGAAGAAUACAGACUUCUCUCAGCCACAAUGCUGAGGUUUAGUAUUAGUUCUUUAGUGAGGAAGAAGAAGAAAUUGAAGGCAAAGCACCCUGAAAUCUUUAAAGACUACAUUACAGUAUGGAUUUAUUCUUUUUUAAAAAUCCUCAUGGUUUCUAUAAAGUCAUAGUGAAGUCAGUCUGGUGCUCAACAUUGGAGACACAGUGACCCAGACCCGGACGGACGCUGCCCUCAUGGAGUUUACAAUCCAGAAGGAGAGACUGACAUAUUAAGUAAUCACACAAAUGUCAUUGUAAGCUUUGAUAAGUGUGUAGAAGAAGGGGUCAGUGACGAUAAUGUCAAGGACUUUUGGAUUCAGGGGUCAGAGACAGUUUGUUUGAGAGAGCAACAGUAAUGCCGUGCCCUGAAGAAUCAGGGGGUACUAGCCGGGGGAAGAGCUGCAGCAGACAAUACCAGGAACAGCACAUUGAGGCUUGGGGAUGGGAACUGUGGGGUGUGGUUCUGGAACUGGGAGGGGCCUGUACUUGGAGCAUCCUCAACGGGAUGGAGAACUGGGUGGUGGGAACACUGUGGGAUAUGAGGGAAGGGCUGGACCCCCAGGGAUUGUGUGGGCAAUUUUAGCAUCUUCAUUGUUUUCCAGACACAGGGCAAGUCACAGAAGGGAUUUAGGCACACAAGUGACAUAUUUUAGUUUAUAUUUUUAAUGAACCAUCCCAAUUGCAGUGUGGGUCUAGAAGGGAAAAGAGAUGUCUAUCAGGGAGCUUUCAGCCUGGUCAUCAGAGUCAAGGAUAUGGUGAACACAACUAAAUACAGAGACCUUUUUGCUUAUACUAGAUCCUGAAAAGAUCAUGUCUGUCUUAGUGGGGGGACUCCCCUUUCUACAAAAUGGCACCAAAACCACAGAAGAGAUCACUGAAGUAAAGUUCCUCAAUCAAUGAAACAUUUUCUGGAUUAAAUUUUGUUUAAUCAAAAAGUAUCAAGAAUGCCAUUUAGCCAUUAUGAAGUUUAUGAAAAGAAUGAGUGGGUUUGACUCAUGGAAAUAAGUAGCUGGGAAUGUGAUGUUGAAUGCUGAGGGACCCCCUGAAUUCAGGACAGUUGAGCAGUAGAUAGAUGAGUUAGGCAGAUAGCAAAUCACUGCAGCAACACUACUGAAAGUAAUAUUGACGGCUUUGACUUCCACUGGUGAGCAAUGCUCCAAAUAUGUCACCGCUGACUUCAGCUUUCCCCAAUUGUAGUCAGCCCUGUUGCCUUCGGAGGCAGCGCAGGAUCUGGCCCUAUCAAAAGACAAGGCAGAGGUAGGGUUGCAACCUUCUUGGGUCCCCAGCACUGUUGCCUUUGUGGGUCCCUUCCUCUGUAAACACAAUAUUGUGGAUACUAAAUAGGUCUGCUAAAACACAAA